CUGUAAUUAAGGGAACGAUCACCAUCUUGAAGAGAGCUCUUGGAUAUAAUGCCAGCUCUGGUUAGGAUAGCUAUAGAGCCUAGGGUGCAACUUUAGACCCCAUGUCUGGUGUCCACUGCAUUCUAUUAAAAAGACAUCAAAGAUAAAU